GCCGCAUUAGCCCAGUUCAUAGAGGCGUUGGCAGUACUGAUGCUGAAAGUCACAGGUUCAAAUCCUGUCUGCGGUG